CCUACGGGGGGCAGCAGUAGGGAAUCUUUCACAAUGGGCGAAAGCCUGAUGGAGCAACGCCGCGUGCAGGAUGAAGGCCUUCGGGUUGUAAACUGCUUUUAUAAGCGAGAAAUAUGAUGGUAACUUAUGAAUAAGGAUCGGCUAACUACGUGCCAGCAGCCGCGGUCAUACGUAGGAUCCGAGCAUUAUCCGGAGUGACUGGGUGUAAAGAGUUGCGUAGGUGGCAUAAUAAGUAGCUGGUGAAAUCUGGUGGCUCAACCAUUCAGACUAUUAGCUAAACUGUUAAGCUCGAGACCGUUAGGGGUAACUGGAAUUGCUAGUGUAGGAGUGAAAUGCGUAGAUAUUAGAAGGAACACCAAUGGCGAAGGCAGGUUACUGGGACGGUUCUGACACUAAGGCACGAAAGCGUAGGGAGCAAACGGGAUUAGAUACCCGUGUAGUC
rnacentral:rRNA from 1 species